rnacentral:rRNA from 1 species
CCUACGGGAGGCAGCAGUAGGGAAUCUUCCGCAAUGGACGAAAGUCUGACGGAGCAACGCCGCGUGAACGAUGAAGGCCUUCGGGUCGUAAAGUUCUGUUGUUAGGGAAGAACAAGUGCUAGUUGAAUAAGCUGGCACCUUGACGGUACCUAACCAGAAAGCCACGGCUAACUACGUGCCAGCAGCCGCGGUAAUACGUAGGUGGCAAGCGUUGUCCGGAAUUAUUGGGCGUAAAGCGCGCGCAGGCGGUUUCUUAAGUCUGAUGUGAAAGCCCCCGGCUCAACCGGGGAGGGUCAUUGGAAACUGGGAAACUUGAGUGCAGAAGAGGAAAGUGGAAUUCCAAGUGUAGCGGUGAAAUGCGUAGAGAUUUGGAGGAACACCAGUGGCGAAGGCGACUUUCUGGUCUGUAACUGACGCUGAGGCGCGAAAGCGUGGGGAGCAAACAGGAUUAGAUACCCUGGUAGUCCACGCUGUAAACGAUGAGUGCUAAGUGUUAGAGGGUUUCCGCCUUUAGUGCUGAAGUUAACGCAUUGAGCACUCCGCCUGGGGAGUACGGUCGCAAGACUGAAACUCAAAGGAAUUGAGG